AGCAGCCGCGGUAAUUCCAGCUCCAAUAGCGUAUAUUAAAGUUGUUGCAGUUAAAAAGCUCGUAGUUGAAUUUCGGGAUCAAUACGUCGGUCGUGCUUCGGUACGUACUGGCGUCAUUGAUUUCUCCCUUCUGACGAACCAUGAUGUCAUUAACUUGGUGUCAUGGGAAAUCAGGACUGUUACUUUGAAAAAAUUAGAGUGUUUAAAGCAGGCUCACGCUUGAAUACAUUAGCAUGGAAUAAUGAAAUAGGACGUUCGAUCCUAUUUUGUUGGUUUCUAGGAUCAACGUAAUGAUUAAUAGGGAUAGUUGGGGGCAUUAGUAUUCAAUUGUCAGAGGUGAAAUUCUUGGAUUUAUUGAAGACUAACUACUGCGAAAGCAUUUGCCAAGGAUGUUUUCAUUAAUCAAGAACGAAAGUUAGGGGAUCGAAGACGAUCAGAUACCGUCGUAGUCUUAACCAUAAACUAUGCCGACUAGGGAUCGGAUGAUGUUAAUUAUUUAAUGACUCAUUCGGCGCCUUACG
rnacentral:rRNA from 1 species